AAGCAGCUAAGCUUUCCUGCUGAGUUACAGCUGCCAAGGGACCAUUCAAGGAGCUGGUUGGGAGCACAGUGGUGCUCUGUGCCUGUUCCUGAACUUUUGAUAUGUAAGCAUGUGACAAACUGGAAGAAGAAAAACAUUCAAAUAAAUACUUUUAAAGGACCUCAGGAAUUACUCAUAAGCACUCUUUCCUGUGAAUAGUAAUACAUUAUUUUUUUUUUUUGUUUUAAAAAUAUCCUUCUUAGAAACAUUUAAAAUACGCUUAAUACAGAAGGGUUGAUUUAGGAGGGAUUAUCAUCUCUCACAUUUAUGAUUCUGACACCUCCUAAGAGUCAGAUUUGCCCCAUCUCCUAUUUCAUCACCUGAGAUCCAGAUUUUCAGAAGCAGUCAAACUGCCUCAUAUGGUUUAAACAUCUGGGCUUUCGGAGCCGUUCCAUGCCUGCUCGCCUUGUUAGAGGGUUUGGUGCUGGAGCCUCCGACCGAAUGCCAGAAUCCUUCCCUUUGUGCUCCUCAGUGACGUACACAAGAACUUUGAGGUGGUGUAAGAACAGAAGGAUUCGUGGCUAAUAAAUACUUCAUCUAAAUGGAAACUGAUGUAAUUUGCUCUCUGGAACCCCAUUGCCCCCAGUUCCCUCGUGGUUUUUCUACUGAAAAUCCUGUAUCUGUCUUCACCAAGCAUCCAGCGAAAGUCAAGACACUUGAGGACCAUUUAAGAGGAAUGGUGAAAAUCUGAAGUGCAGUGGAACAAGAUGGUGACUGCAGUAGGUGGAGGAUUUGUGGGAAGCUGCUGAAGAACUUCUACAUGAAAAAUGAAAGGAAGGUCCUAGUGUCAGCAUCAGUUGACACAGUCUCGCAGCAAACAGCUUUUAAUAUCUUGUUUUGAAUAAAUUGAGGUAAGUUUGGUUCUUAAUGACA
rnacentral:lncRNA from 1 species